UACAGAGGGUGCGAGCGUUAAUCGGAAUUACUGGGCGUAAAGCGCGCGUAGGCGGCUUUUCAAGUCGAUUGUGAAAUCCCCGGGCUUAACCUGGGAACUGCAGUCGAGACUGUCUAGCUAAAGUAUGGGAGAGGGAAGUGGAAUUUCAGGUGUAGCGGUGAAAUGCGUAGAUAUCUGAAGGAACAUCAGUGGCGAAAGCGACUUCCUGGACCAAUACUGACGCUCAUGUGCGAAAGCGUGGGGAGCAAACAGG
rnacentral:rRNA from 1 species